rnacentral:rRNA from 1 species
AGAAUCAACGCUGGCGGCGUGCCUAACACAUGCAAGUCGAACGAGAAAGGGGUAGCAAUACCCUGAGUAAAGUGGCGCACGGGUGAGUAACACGUGACUAACCUACCCUGGAGUGGGGGAUAACUGAGGGAAACCUUAGCUAAUACCGCAUAAUACCUACGGGUCAAAGGAGCAAUUCGCUUUGGGAGGGGGUCGCGGCCGAUUAGUUAGUUGGCGGGGUAAUGGCCCACCAAGACGAUGAUCGGUAUCCGGCCUGAGAGGGCGCACGGACACACUGGAACUGAAACACGGUCCAGACUCCUACGGGAGGCAGCAGUGGGGAAUUUUGCGCAAUGGGGAACCCUGACGCAGCAACGCCGCGUGGAGGAUGAAGUACUUCGGUACGUAAACUCCUUUCGAUCGGGACGAUUAUGACGGUACCGAGAGAAGAAGCCCCGGCUAACUUCGUGCCAGCAGCCGC